CCUACGGGGGGCAGCAGUGGGGAAUAUUGCACAAUGGGGGAAACCCUGAUGCAGCGACGCCGCGUGAGUGAAGAAGUAUUUCGGUACGUAAAGCUCUAUCAGCAGGGAAGAAAAUGACGGUACCUGACUAAGCAGCCCCGGCUAACUACGUGCCAGCAGCCGCGGUAAUACGUAGGGGGCAAGCGUUAUCCGGAUUUACUGGGUGUAAAGGGAGCGUAGACGGCAGCGCAAGUCUGGAGUGAAAUCCCAUGGCUUAACCAUGGAACUGCUUUGGAAACUGUGCAGCUAGAGUGCAGGAGAGGUAAGCGGAAUUCCUAGUGUAGCGGUGAAAUGCGUAGAUAUUAGGAGGAACACCAGUGGCGAAGGCGGCUUACUGGACUGUAACUGACGUUGAGGCUCGAAAGCGUGGGGAGCAAACAGGAUUAGAUACCCGAGUAGUC
rnacentral:rRNA from 1 species